CGCUCUUCGCGUCGCCUUUCAGCGGGCGGCAAGUUAAAAGGGGCGAGUGGGGUAGGGGGAAUGCAGCCCCAGAGAUGGUGGGAGCAUUCACCCUGUCAGACAGCAAAACGGAGGCACAGGCGGCUAAUGGAAAUCCGGAGCAACGCACACAAAGCGCCCGAGGGACUCAGCGGGUCAGGCAGCAACUAUGGAGGGAGGGCUUGACACCAUCCUGAAACGUCGACUCUCUAUGGAUGCUGUCUGCCUUGCUGAAUUCCCCUGACAUUUUGUGUGUGUUGCUACAGGGUCAGACAACAUCCGUGGAAAAAGAGCAACAAUCUGUUUCUGGGAAUCAGCGGGUCUAGCUGAGGGAAAGCGUUGUCAUUUCGGAUCGCAAGCCUGCACCAGGACAAACCACCCCUACCCCCAAGCAGAAUGAAAUUAUCUGAGGCAAAAUGGCUUUCAAAUACAAAUAAAGGCAGCUGAACAAGAAGUGACCAAAAUUUAGCCAAAGAAAUGGGUGUAAAGAAGCAACUUAAAGGAAGUAAAAACCUAAAAGGAUGGACUGGCAGGAUGGAGGCGGUUGAUACAAGAGGUGGACACCAUAUGGAAAUAAGCAUCCUGAGUGAAGAUUACAAGGUGGAUAUAGUCCUUCAAACACUGAAGUCAGAUUUAAAAGGUAUGUUAUCUUGUGUAUGCACACAUUUCAUUGGAAGGUAAGAAUUAUUAACUGUAACACCUUUUGUCAAUGUCCUAUUUUCAUUUGAAGUUUUUGGAAUUUUUAUCUGAACAUAUCAGUUUGAUGUUGCACUAUUUACCACUGAUUGAUUGAAGAGUCAUUUGACAUUGUCCUCCCAGCUACAACUCCAAGUUCACAGGACUUAGUGUUUUCUCAGCACAGAUUAAUUCUGCUUGAGACCUGAGCCACUUUCUGGUUAAGAGCGCACAUCUGCUUCAGACCUGAGCCACUUUCUGGUUAAGUUCCAUUUUGCUCUUUCUCACUUUAUCCCCUCUACUUCUUCCUGUCUCUGUCCUCAAAGAUCUUUUUGA